rnacentral:rRNA from 1 species
AGCGCGCAAGUGUUUCAAAAGCGAAACACAGUCAAUUUAGCUGGCUUUUAGAAGCCAGCAAAAAAUUAUAUUUUUCGGAGAGUUUGAUUCUGGCUCAGAACGAACGCUGGCGGCGUGGAUAAGACAUGCAAGUCGAACGGGGCAGUUCUGGUAGUAAUAUUAGAAUUGUUCAGUGGCGAACGGGUGCGUAACACGUGGACAACAUUCCGGGAAGCGGGGGAUAGCCCAGGGAAACUUGGAUUAAUACCGCAUGUGGACGAGUGAGGCAUCUCACGAAGUCUAAAGGUGGGGACCGCAAGGCCUGCCACUCCGAUGGUCCGCGGCCUAUCAGCUAGUUGGUGAGGUAAAGGCUCCACCAAGGCUACGACGGGUAGCUGGUCUUAGAGGACGACCAGCCACACUGGGACUGAGAC